rnacentral:rRNA from 1 species
CGUAGGGUGCGAGCGUUAAUCGGAAUUACUGGGCGUAAAGCGUGCGCAGGCGGUUUUGUAAGACAGGCGUGAAAUCCCCGGGCUCAACCUGGGAACUGCGCUUGUGACUGCAAGGCUAGAGUACGGCAGAGGGGGUGGAAUUCCACGUGUAGCAGUGAAAUGCGUAGAGAUGUGGAGGAACACCAAUGGCGAAGGCAGCCCCCUGGGUCGAUACUGACGCUCAUGCACGAAAGCGUGGGUAGCAAACAGGAUUAGAUACCCUGGUAGUCCACGCCCCAAACGAUGUCAACUAGGUGUUGGGUGGGUAAAACCAUUUAGUACCGGAGCUAACGCGUGAAGUUGACCGCCUGGGGAGUACGGCCGCAAGGUUA